GAUGAAGAACGUAGCGAAAUGCGAUAAGUAAUGUGAAUUGCAGAAUUCAGUGAAUCAUCGAAUCUUUGAACGCACCUUGCGCCCUUUGGCCAUUCCGAAGGGCAUGCCUGUUUGAGUAUCAUGAACACCUCAACUCUUCAUGGUUUUCCGUGAUGAGCUUGGACUUUGGGGGUCUUGCUGGCCUAUGGUCAGCUCCGCUAAAAUAAAUCAGCUUGCCAGUGUUUGGUGGGUAUCACAGGUGUGAUAACUAUCUACGCUUGUGGUGUUCCACCAGGUAACCUUCAGCAGUGGAGGUUCGCUGGAGCUCACAGAUGUGUCUCUCCUCAGUGAGGACAGCUCUUUGAAUGUUUGAUCUCAAAUCAGGUAGGACUACCCGCUGAACUUAAGCAUAUCAAUAAGCGGAGGA
rnacentral:misc_RNA from 1 species